rnacentral:rRNA from 1 species
UACGGAGGGUGCAAGCGUUAUCCGGAUUCACUGGGUUUAAAGGGUGCGUAGGCGGGCAUUUAAGUCAGUGGUGAAAUACCUGAGCUUAACUUGGGAACUGCCAUUGAUACUAUUUGUCUUGAAUGUCGUGGAGGUUAGCGGAAUAUGCCAUGUAGCGGUGAAAUGCUUAGAUAUGACAUAGAACACCUAUUGCGAAGGCAGCCAACUACGCGAAUAUUGACGCUGAGGCACGAAAGCGUGGGGAUCAAACAGG